UCCGGUUUGGCACCGGCAGUCCGCCCAGAGUCCUCAGCGAGCUGAUCUCCUUGUUGCCAAAGAGGGCUCCUGCUAGCAACUGGACGCGGGGGUUGCGCUCGUUGCGGGACUUAACCCAACAUCUCACGACACGAGCUGACGACAGCCAUGCAGCACCUGUGCAUGGACUCCGAAGAGAAGCCUCGGUUUCUCGAGGCGGUCCCAUGCAUGUCAAGCCCGGGUAAGGUUCUUCGCGUUGCGUCGAAUUAAACCACAUGCUCCACCGCUUGUGCGGGCCCCCGUCAAUUCCUUUGAGUUUCAGCCUUGCGGCCGUACUCCCCAGGCGGGGCACUUAAUGCGUUAGCGCCGGCACUCGGAGGGUCGCUCCCCCGAGCACCUAGUGCCCAUCGUUUACGGCGUG
rnacentral:misc_RNA from 1 species